GAGUUUGAUCUUGGCUCAGAUUGAACGCUGGCGGCAGGCCUAACACAUGCAAGUCGUGCGGUAGAGAGAAGCUUGCUUCUCUUGAGAGCGGCGGACGGGUGAGUAAUGCCUAGGAAUCUGCCUGGUAGUGGGGGAUAACGCUCGGAAACGGACGCUAAUACCGCAUACGUCCUACGGGAGAAAGCAGGGGACCUUCGGGCCUUGCGCUAUCAGAUGAGCCUAGGUCGGAUUAGCUAGUUGGUGAGGUAAUGGCUCACCAAGGCGACGAUCCGUAACUGGUCUGAGAGGAUGAUCAGUCACACUGGAACUGAGACACGGUCCAGAUUCCUACGGGAGGCAGCAGUGGGGAAUAUUGGACAAUGGGCGAAAGCCUGAUCCAGCCAUGCCGCGUGUGUGAAGAAGGUCUUCGGAUUGUAAAGCACUUUAAGUU
rnacentral:rRNA from 1 species